UACAUAGGGGCCAAGCGUUGUCCGGAAUUACUGGGCGUAAAGGGCGCGUAGGUGGUAAGCCAAGUCAGAAUUAAAAGCCAGAAGCUUAACUUCUGUUCGGUUCUGAUACUAGCUUGCUAGAGGUUGGGAGAGGAAAGCGGAAUUAACAGUGUAGCGGUGAAAUGCGUAGAUAUUGUUAAGAACACCCGUGGCGAAGGCGGCUUUCUGGACCAAACCUGACACUGAGGCGCGAAAGCGUGGGGAGC
rnacentral:rRNA from 1 species